UGGACCUGCUGGAGCAAGUCCCGAGGAAGCCAUGAAGAUGCAUGCGAGGGCUGGAGCACCUCUCCUAUGAGACAGGCUGAGAGAGUUGGGCUUGUUCAGCCUGGAGAAGAGAAGGCUCUGGGGAGACCUUAGAGCAGCUCCCAGUGUCUAAAGGGGCCUGCAAGAAAUCCAGAGAGCAGCUUUUGACAAGGGCGUGCAGGGAUAGGACAAGGGGGACUGGCUUUAAACUGAAAGGGGGGAGAUUUAGAUUAGAUCUUAGG